rnacentral:rRNA from 1 species
GAUGAACGCUAGCGGCAGGCCUAAUACAUGCAAGUCGAACGGCAAGUCGAGUAGCAACACUUGACCUAGAGUGACGUAAGGGUGCGUAACACGUAUGCAAUCUGCCCUCAACUGGAGGAUAGCUCCCCGAAAGGGGAAUUAACCCUCCGUAGUAUAAUUGGAAGGCAUCUUUUGAUUAUUAAAACUCCGGUGGUUGAGGAUGAGCAUGGGUCUUAUUAGCUAGUUGGUAGUGUAACGGACUACCAAGGCGAUGAUCAGUAGGGGAACUGAGAGGUUGGUCCCCCACACUGGCACUGAGAUACGGGACAGACUCCUACGGGAGGCAGCAGUAGGGAAUAUUGGACAAUGGGUGCAAGCCUGAUCCAGCCAUGCCGCGUGCAGGAAGAAGGCCGUCUGGGUUGUAAACUGCUUUUGUACGGAACGAAAAGACUCUGGUUAAUACCUGGGGUCCAUGACGGUACCGUAAGAAUAAGCACCGGCUAACUACGUGCCAGCCGCCGCAGUAACAC